rnacentral:rRNA from 1 species
GAGCUUGCUCCACCGAAAGAAAAGGAGUGGCGAACGGGUGAGUAACACGUGGGUAACCUGCCCAUCAGAAGGGGAUAACACUUGGAAACAGGUGCUAAUACCGUAUAACAAUCGAAACCGCAUGGUUUCGGUUUGAAAGGCGCUUUUGCGUCACUGAUGGAUGGACCCGCGGUGCAUUAGCUAGUUGGUGAGGUAACGGCUCACCAAGGCAACGAUGCAUAGCCGACCUGAGAGGGUGAUCGGCCACAUUGGGACUGAGACACGGCCCAAACUCCUACGGGAGGCAGCAGUAGGGAAUCUUCGGCAAUGGACGGAAGUCUGACCGAGCAACGCCGCGUGAGUGAAGAAGGUUUUCGGAUCGUAAAACUCUGUUGUUAGAGAAGAACAAGGAUGAGAGUAGAAUGUUCAUCCCUUGACGGUAUCUAACCAGAAAGCCACGGCUAACUACGUGCCAGCAGCCGCGGUAAUACGUAGGUGGCAAGCGUUGUCCGGAUUUAUUGGGCGUAAAGCGAGCGCAGGCGGUUUCUUAAGUCUGAUGUGAAAGCCCCCGGCUCAACCGGGGAGGGUCAUUGGAAACUGGGAAACUUGAGUGCAGAAGAGGAGAGUGGAAUUCCAUGUGUAGCGGUGAAAUGCGUAGAUAUAUGGAGGAACACCAGUGGCGAAGGCGGCUCUCUGGUCUGUAACU